rnacentral:rRNA from 1 species
AACGAACGCUGGCGGCAUGCCUAACACAUGCAGGUCGAACGAGACCUUCGGGUCUAGUGGCGCACGGGUGCGUAACGCGUGGGAACCUGCCCUUAGGUUCGGAAUAACUCCCCGAAAGGGGUGCUAAUACCGGAUAAUGUCUUCGGACCAAAGAUUUAUCGCCUUUGGAUGGGCCCGCGUUGGAUUAGCUAGUUGGUAGGGUAAAAGCCUACCAAGGCGACGAUCCAUAGCUGGUCUGAGAGGAUGAUCAGCCACACUGGGACUGAGACACGGCCCAGACUCCUACGGGAGGCAGCAGUGGGGAAUAUUGGAUAAUGGGCGAAAGCCUGAUCCAGCAAUGCCGCGUGAGUGAUGAAGGCCUUAGGGUUGUAAAGCUCUUUUACCCGGGAUGAUAAUGACAGUACCGGGAGAAUAAGCUCCGGCUAACUCCGUG